UACAGCCAUUUUGGCCAUCUUCAGCUCGGGUGGGGCCGUUUUUGGAAUCUGUAACCUGUGGGGG
ensembl:misc_RNA predicted gene, 27899